rnacentral:rRNA from 1 species
GACGAACCGUGCAAACGUUGUUCGGAAUCACUGGGCUUAAAGGGCGCGUAGGCGGAUGAGCAAGUCUGUGGUGAAAUCCCCCGGCUUAACUGGGGAACUGCCGUGGAUACUGCCCAUCUCGAGGAGGGUAGGGGCGUCUGGAACUAGCGGUGGAGCGGUGAAAUGCGUUGAUAUCGCUAGGAACUCCGGUGGCGAAGGCGAGACGCUGGACCCUUUCUGACACUGAGGCGCGAAAGCCAGGGGAGCGAACGGG